rnacentral:lncRNA from 1 species
UACAGUUGUAAAAGCCUUACUAUUUGCCGUAUUGAACAUUCCAUUCCCAUUCAUUGCAAUUGUUUUCCUAAUUAAUAUAACUGAAAAAAUGUGAUAGUAAAGAGCUGAUUUUUAACUUUUAGUCUUUCAUAAAAAGGACGAAUAAGUCAUUGAUUUGGUGUUAGCAUAUAUAUUUUUUAUACUCAAUGUGAUAAAGAUGAAUUUGUGCAUUUACUUUUAUAAUUUAUAUUUAUUGGUGUUGUUACAAUUGCUCCUUUUUAUUGCCCUAUCAUAUUAUAUAUAUAUUUUUUUGUCAUCAAAACCGGCCCUUUAGAUCUAUGUCAGAAUAAGUGAUGAUUGUAAACCAUUGAUAUAUUGUUGCUUGUUUUAGUCUCCAGUAACUGAAUUUUUACACAGUUCAUACAUGGAUUCAUAAAUUUUUUGGAUAAUCAAUUAUUGUGGAUUGUUAAGGAAACAUUAUAUUUUCCUGGAUAUUUUAUUUUUGUUGAACAGUUAAAUUCCUUGUUUCCCUAUAACCUGGAAAUCAAUGAAAACAUUGGUAUCCAAGAAGAAUAUUGAAUUCACAGUAUGAUUUUUUUUAAGAGCAUUUAAGAAGAAUACUGUAUGAUACAUGUUAUAUUGUUGCUUUAGCUAUAGUGUAAUUCAAUUUCAUUUAAUGCGGAAUAUAAGACUUAUCAUCCCACUGUUAGGCAUGCUUUUGGUGACUUUAAAUUAGUCAAGUGGUUAGAAUAUUUUUUGGUUGGUUAAAUUGUUUCUGAAGAAGAAAUGAUAUAAUGUACAUUGGUAAUGCAAUAUUCCAGUGCUAUUUGUCUUAUAAGAGGUCUUUAAAUUUUGAAAACAGACAUAAUCGAAAUUGACUUACUUAUUAAGAAGGUAAUUAUUUCUCAUAUCAAGAUAUUCACCAACCCUACUGUGAUAUUGUUAACUGUAUAUAACUUCUGUGGUCAAUGUGUUCACUUAGGCCCACAGUUUAUGCAAUCUACAGUAAGCUACACUUAACAGCAUCCAACAGAAGGAAUAUCAUGAUCAUCAAUUUGUCUUUUUUUCUCCUGAUCUUAGGGUUUGAUUAUCUUAGUGGGCUUUAAACAUAUAGCUGCAACUGCUUCCUAGAAUAGUAAUUCAUAUUAGUUUAACCUCAAACAAGCUUAUAUGUGAAACUUGCUUGUAAAUCAAAUGAUUUUUUUUCAAGUGAAUUUUGAAAAUACAGUUAUUC